UUUCCGUAGGUGAACCUGCGGAAGGAUCAUUAAUGAAUGAAUUCGGAGGUUUGGGUUGUCGCUGGCCUCUUCACCGAGGCAUGUGCACGCCUCCUCUGUUCAUCCACCACACACCUGUGCACUUGUGAUUCGGGUUGUCCCUCUCGCGGGGGGCGGUCCGUCUUAUUAUACAUAAACUCUAUCAUCAUAAAUCAGAAUGUAAUCGAUGUAAACACAUCUUUGAACUAAGUUUCAACAACGGAUCUCUUGGCUCUCGCAUCGAUGAAGAACGCAGC
rnacentral:misc_RNA from 1 species